rnacentral:rRNA from 1 species
GACGAACGCUGGCGGCGUGCUUAACACAUGCAAGUCGAACGGAAAGGCCCUGCUUUUGUUGGGUGCUCGAGUGGCGAACGGGUGAGUAACACGUGAGUAACCUGCCCUUUACUUUGGUAUAACUUCAGGAAACUGGUGCUAAUACCUGAUAGGAGCUCCUGCUGCAUGGUGGGGGUUGGAAAGUUUCGGCGGUUGGGGAUGGACUCGCUGCUUAUCAGCUUGUUGGUUGGGUAGUGGCUUACCAAGGGUUUGACGGGUAGCCGGCCUGAGAGGGUGACCGGGGAAAUUGGGACUGAGAUACGGACCAGAAUACAACGGGAGGCAGCAGUGGGGAAUAUUGCACAAUGGGAGGAAGCAUGAUGCAGAAACGCCGCGUGCGGGAUGAAGGCCUUCGGGUUGUAAAAAGAUUUCGAAUGUGACGAAGAGUGAGUGACGGUAAUGGGUAAAGAAGCACCGGCUAACUACGUG